UUUAUUUGCCAAAGUGUACCGAGAACUACAUUCAUUUCGGUCCCACAUUGCUUAUCUAUCCCUCUUUAGAAAGUCCCCUCGUAACAUUAUUAAAUUAUUUAUUUAUAAUUCAAGAAUUCAAUACACCAGUCCUCCAAGGGCCAAUUUAAAUGUAUUAAAGCAAGUAUAAAUUACGCCGUAUAUUGUCCAGUGCAUUUCAAGAUUAUCCCAAAAAAACAAAAUGUAGGCUAUUACCAAAAAUUUAAAAACGCAUGGGUGUAGUAGAUGUAGAAGACACUUAACUUAAAAUUAAAUUUAUCACAAUUUAUUCAUUAUAUAUAUCAAUAUAUCAAAAGAAAACAAAAAAAACUAACCACGUAGCCACUCCAAACGUAGCAUAUAACCCAACCAAACAGCAAGCUUAGUGUAAGUAAUACAACAGCUCAUCUCGUGAUCAUUCCGACAACACGAUGAGUGGGUCUAGGGAUUUUCUUCUUGACAACCAGGACAAAGGGGUAUAAUGAUUUAAACAAAGAUCCUGAUGGCUGUACUGCAAUAUUCGCGGUUCUAAAGAGGGUAGGUUAGUCAAUGUCAGCAAUAGCGGAAUAGAGAUCACUGCAGCCAAUAUUUUUGAAGUCCCUAUAUUCAAAAUACGAAGUGAGAUUUGCAUUUGAUAUUAAAACUAGGAAACUUAAGGCAUGAUACGAUAUAAAAGGACUUUGCAUCUGGUCAGAAUGGUUGAGCAAGCUACAGCCACUCAGAGCCAGAGAUCAAGCAAAGAUGUGGUUCGAUGUGCUAAUGCGUUGGUGUAAAGAUGUAACACAUGGGUACAUCUCAAGCAGAUGGAUGUCCUCACAUUAACAUUAGCUGGAUCAAAAAAGUUACGAUUAAAAUCUUCAAAAAUAAUUAUGCUCGACAAUAUCCCAAAAUGACUACUUUGAAGACAGCAAUAAAAUUACUAAUCAAGUAGACGACACUAAAAAUAGUUGUAACAUCAACCUCCCAACUCAGUAAAUAGCGAUUUGCUCGCCUCCAGCAAGGAAAAUUUAAAAAUUACCUUAAAUUUAAUCCCACUGGUUAGAUAGAUACCCACUACCUAGAAUUUGGAGCCUGUCAUUCAUAAUAAGGGCGUAGCCCUGACCGACUGGAGAUGUGAGGUUUCACUCAAGUUUCAGAGAUGGCAAGUAAAUCAAAUUUAUCCACCACGAGAGUUUUGAAUUUCUCAAACCCAGUGGGAGGUACUUGGGGCCUAAAACUUUGACAGUUAAUAUGAGAAAUUGUCUACAGUUGACAGUGCUUACGGACAGAGCAGAUGAUAGAUGAGCUACGACUCACUACGGUUCCGUAUAUGGGUUAAUAUGACAAGUAAUAAGUGAGAUCUAGGUACGUGGUAAGAAACCGAAUGCAAUAUCUGAAAUGAUUUACAGCAAUACAUUUAUAUUUUAUUUAUCAUUUAUUACAAUGACGUUUUAUUUAUUAGGCGAAACAAGCGAAGAUCACAGGCAUUACGGCAACACUCUUCAUAAAUUAACGUUACCAUUCACUAAAUUCUUGUAAAAAAAUGGAGAGACCUAAUUGCAUUUCUAGAAUUUACGAAGUUCUGGCUAAUUCGGAAAAAACAAUCGAGGAAUUAUUUCAAAAAAUGAACGAAGAGGAAAGUGUGGACAUGGACGACAUAAGAAGGGGAGUAAACCAAGGAGUCGAGAUGGGCAUCUUGGGAAUAACAGGAUUGGUAUCAAAGUAAAUGUCAUGGCUUCGAGUAGUAGUAGUAGUAGUCUUUCCUUUACAAGUUGAGCAAAUAAAGCAGAACGCAGAUAAUAGUCCAUUCCCAUCCCACGUUUCAGAUAUUCAACGUUCAUUCGCGUAAUUUUUUUUUUAUUUCGCGCAAAUUGUACUCGAGUUAGGUACCCACACAGUACGGGCUGUUCCCGCCCCCGGACUCGGGUGAACUUUACUGCGCUGCGUCCUGAUGCUGUCUGUUGAAGCCAUGUUAAUAAAAUCGUUUCGCUCCACAAUGACGUCCGACGCCGCUCGAAAGACUGCUGAAUGGCUGUGUAGUGACAGCAGCGGAUUUUCAAGUAAGUGUGAAAUGUUGUAGACCUUUAUACUUGCACUGUUAAAAUUCGAUUUGCAAUCAAAAAAUUGUUUAAGCUUUGUAAUUUUAGAUAAUUUUUUUUCUCUUUGAAUAUUAAGUUUGAGUGAACUAAGGUAAAUUUAUACACAAAAUUUUGCUGCUUUUUCCUCGUUCAAAACACUUGUCGAGUGGAUUAUGUCAAACAUUUCUCAAAAAGUCGAUAUUUUCCGAAAGCGAAGAAGAAAAAAUUUUUACAGUGACGGCUUUCAACAACAAAU